GUUCUGCCAACCGAGGUGCCAGGCAGGUCAGCUCCCACCCUGGGCCGCUGACUCAUGCUGCUCAUCGUGUCUCCCUGUCGUGUACCGAGCAUCCCUGUCCCGCUGUCUGGAGACAGAGGUCGGAGGAGAGGAGCAGGCAGCAUAAAAAGUUUCCCGAACCUCUUCUCAAAUAAUGGCUGGGAGGGAGGAAGGCGAAUCCUAGAAAAGUGAGUUCCUUGGUGUGUUCAGCUAGCGAGGGGCAGAGC
rnacentral:lncRNA from 1 species